GUUCCCUGGCGCCACGAUUGUGAAGAGCAGUGGAUUUUCUAGCCCACCUGCGCCCUCUGGGGCGGGAGAAGACUCCAGACGUGGGCUAAACGACCUAACCAUUGGAAUGGGGAGGGGGCGGAGGGAAGGGUGUUAGGUUCGACCUGACAGUGGUUUUACCGCUCAUUAGCUGUUUGGGUUGGGUAAGCCACGCCCCCUUCCCAGGAUGGACAACCUGGGUCUCUAAAGGCGGCCCUAGGUCCAAGGACAACGGCCUUCAACUGGAAUUAAACCACAUGGGGAAACCGGGGUUGGCCUUUCAUCCCACUUGGCAAAGCUGUACGUUUUCAUGAAGGUACUAUGCUUGGGCGCUUUGCAUCCGAUCUUUACUCCUCACUGCAAACCCCCGAAGUAAAAAAACCAAAACACUUGUGGAGAAACUGAAAGUGAAUUGCCCAAGUGUCUUUUCUGAUGGAGUCAAGUGAGAAAACCACAUUCUCAAAAGAGCUCCUCGGGAAAACGCCAUAGAAGAUCUUCUCGGCCCUUUGAUGGCGCUCGGCAGGCCGAGGCCUGGUUUCUUCAUCCGUGAUGUUACAAUAAUUUGGGCCUUAAGGUGAAGGGAGAUGAUUGUAAAACCCCCGGCAAAUAGCCAGCACUGGUUUGAAGAUGUGCGUCAUCAGGCAGGCAAACGAGUCAUACUGUAUCUUGUGUGACCCUCGGGUUUGCAGUGUUUCUCUCCACGACAGCCUACCGUGCAAAGUAUCCGACUUGAGAGCUACAGAGAAUCUGACCAAAAAGGAACAGAUUACAUAAAUAAGUGAAAAGGUAGUGUUUUCUUGUCAAGUCUAAUUGUGGCUAGACACCAUUUUUACCCUCAGAGCUGUCUUUAGACCCUGAUCACGGACGUGAGGCCAUGGCACCAUAUUCCAGUUCGAUUUGCUGUAUUCGACAACUAAAGUCUCCUUUGUUUUCUGAAAUUGUUUAUAACCUAUACAGAUGCCCACUGUGGUCGCUUAGAGAUAAA